CUGCUGGAGGGCAUGGACCUGGAUGAACUUUUGGAUACCUCAAGAGCUUCUCUAAGGAUGUGCUGGCUGCUAAAACAAGGUCCUUAGCCAGCUGUAGUGGGUCGAUGGUCUCCAGAGCGGCGACGGCGGCCAGGGGCUCGGGGAAACGCCGGAACCUGUUGCGGGAGAGGUUGAUGGCCCGGAGGUGCAGCAGGGAGGUGACCUCCUCGGGCAGGCGGUGCAGCCUAGGGGAGUUUUCACGGAUGAUGCUCCAGCUCCAGGACAACACGGGAGGCCUCCCCAAACACCCACCAUGGUGGCACUCGUGCAGUACGUUGUAUGAACAAAAUAUUUGCUUUUAAAAGCUGCCGGAGCCCCAGGUGCUGCUGCAGAGGCAGGCAAAGCCCCGGUGCAGUCCCCAGCGUUCAAAACCACGGCGCUGGAUGCUUGCAUGACCAUGUUGUAGCAGAUUAGCUUCUGGCUGCUUUCGCUGGGCUCCGCAGGAACGUGUCCCCAUGACACCAGCCAUGCACUGAUGGCCGUCCCCAUCUCCUGCAGCGAGUGGGGAGUGAGCAACUGUCACUGAUGUCUCACGAUGGGGGCUAAAUAGCCAGUGGCAAGCCAGCAUGCCUUCUGCAGCCUGAAAUGCCCCACCUCUGCCAUGCACCAUUAUGCCCUGGCUGCCUUUUCAGUCCUCUUUCAUCCCCAGCCCCAUCCUUGGAGGGAGCCGGAGGAUGAUGAGUGACCCCGCAGCAGCCUGGCCACUGCUGAAAGUGGCUGGAAGGUGGCAGGGCAUGAGUUUGGGAGGGUGGGUGAGAGCAAAACCAAUGCCCUCCUGCUGCAAGGGCUGGAAAGGGUAAAGAAAAAUGGAUUUUUGGGGGUCUGAACUAGUGCUUGGAAUGAGGUGCGAGCGUAGAGGAGCAAAAACUGCAGUGGGGAAACUCUCUGGUGCUGUGCCCCCUCUGCAGCAACCUGGGGGCUCUUUGCUGGGUGCCAGGGGUUUGGAAGUGGCUGUUGCGAAGCAGUGGGGCUGUCCCUUACCUCUCAGCUGGCUGAAGGUGGUGACGAAUCGGCUGGUGAGGGACUUCAGCUCGUUGUUUGCCAGGGAGAUGUGGUGGAUCCCCUCGGUGACGCUCCUCAUGGCUUUGUAGAUGCCGAUGGGGAAGGUCAUCAGCUUGCAGUUGGCCAGGUCUGUCCCCGGAGAGACCCAGGCACCUUAGAAUGCGCCCCAGCUGGGAUGGAGCAGUGCUUUCUGUCUUGUUUUCCACCCCUUAAUACUCGAUUUGCCUGUCUGGGUGCUGCCACCCACGGAUGCCGUAAUGUCCCCUGCCAUACUCCCCUGCAUUGUGGGGAUCUUUGCCGUCACCUCCGCAAGCACCAAUAGUUUGUUCCCGUCAGCGAUGCUAAGGCUGUUCUGCCUGAGGUGCGUUCAACCCUAAAGCACGUUGCAAAUACUUCUACGCUGCAGUGUCCUUUUGGAAACCCUCCGCCAGCCUGUCUGUGUCUAAUAACUUUGCAGCUUCAGUAAUCCCCCUCCCCUAUAUCCCUCACACCCCAUGGGGAUGGUCGAGCAGCGGCAGGGAUGCCUCCUCCACCUCUGACCGGGAUGGGGAUGGAGCAGGGCUUUCCCUGGGCGUGCUCCUGGCUGGAUUUCUCCUGGCGAUGGGUGCUUGCCCCAUGGCAAGCAGCGGGGAGGGGAAAAGGAUUUGGCUGCGCUUCUCACCUGUUGGCAUUUUUGUUUUGCUCCGAGUUGUUUCUGUUUCCUCCCAUGGGACAUGCCAGGGGAUGGAAACCCUGUAUCCCGGCCCUGUGAUGCUCAGCCUGGGCUCUCCUGCCUGACCCCCCGCUCCCCAAAGCCACGGCGGGGGCUGCAAAAGCUCGGUCCUCCCUCGCUUGUCGUCUCGCUCAGGAGGACGUCGAGAGGCUGAGCAAUGAAGCUCUGACUCUCAGCGUACGCUGAUUUAUACCCCAGGGCUGGGAAUCCAGCAUGAAUAAAAAUGAGCAGCUUUCAUCUCUCUCUUUUGAUGAACUGCGUGCGGGUCUCGGAUAUUAGCUAGGAACAGGGAAAUUGCAGAAAACACAAAUCUGACAAGGCGAUGCGGGGAAAGGUCUGGCUCCUGCCAUCGCUUGCGAGGGGGGGAUGUAUCCCUGGGGCAUGUCCCAUGGGAUUAUGUGCCAUC